GUAUAUAACUUUAUGGGCACUAAAGACCCAGAUCAACAUUCUAUUACAUUCGUAGGAGUAUGUGAAUAACAUAGAACCCAGAGAGACAAGGGAAAGCCGGCACUUCCAUUCGAAAGGCACAGCAGUCCCCAAAUUGCUCAAGACAAUUCUCCAAGGUCUACAAAAAGGUGCACAGGUGGAAGAAAAAACAAUAAUAAUGACAAGCGUGCACGGAGCCAGCAACAGCCUAUCAAAUAUUUUAUCUCAAUAAUGAUCCUUCCGCAGGUUCACCUACGGAAA
rnacentral:misc_RNA from 1 species